AUGGGUGUAGACAACAAAGUUCAAAACAGUACAAUUCAAGAAUGUAAAAAAAAUGGUAUUGAAAUUGAAAGAGUCCUGAAAUGAUACAAGUAAAGAAGCAAAUCUCUGAACUAUCAAGUAAUACCAGAUA